UACGUUGUUUUACUAAGCAUCGAGGAAUAUGCGUUUCGCCUUUUACAAAACGCAUCCGUGCUGGGGGAUCUGAGCGAUAUAUAUGUGCGUUCUUUUACUAACAUUUGUUUUCAGGUAA
rnacentral:snRNA from 1 species